rnacentral:misc_RNA from 1 species
GAUGAAGAACAUAGCGAAAUGCGAUAAGUAAUGUGAAUUGCAGAAUUCAGUGAAUCAUCGAAUCUUUGAACGCACAUUGCGCCCGCCAGUAUUCUGGCGGGCAUGCCUGUUCGAGCGUCAUUUCAACCAUCAAGCCCCCGGCUUGUGUUGGGGACCUGCGGCUGCCGCAGGCCCUGAAAACCAGUGGCGGGCUCGCUAGUCACUCCGAGCGUAGUAAUACAUCUCGCUCAGGGCGUGCUGCGGGUUCCGGCCGUUAAAAAGCCUUAUUUACCCAAGGUUGACCUCGGAUCAGGUAGGAAGACCCGCUGAACUUAAGCAUAUCAAUAAGCGGAGGA